GGCCCAAUGGUCUAGUGGUACGAUGCUCGCUUUGGGUUCAUACCUCAUUUGCGAGCGGUCCAGGGUUCGAACCCCUGUUGGGCCC